AGUCGAACGAUGAAGCCGGAGCUUGCUCUGGUGGAUUAGUGGCGAACGGGUGAGUAACACGUGAGUAACCUGCCCUUGACUCUGGAAUAAGCGUUGGAAACGACGUCUAAUACCGGAUACGAGCUUCAGCCGCAUGGCUAGGAGCUGGAAAGAAUUUCGGUCAAGGAUGGACUCGCGGCCUAUCAGGUAGUUGGUGAGGUAAUGGCUCACCAAGCCUACGACGGGUAGCCGGCCUGAGAGGGUGACCGGCCACACUGGAACUGAGACACGGUCCAGACUCCUACGGGAGGCAGCAGUGGGGAAUAUUGCACAAUGGGCGCAAGCCUGAUGCAGCAACGCCGCGUGAGGGACGACGGCCUUCGGGUUGUAAACCUCUUUUAGUAGGGAAGAAGCGAAAGUGACGGUACCUGCAGAAAAAGCACCGGCUAACUACGUGCCAGCAGCCGCGGUAAUACGUAGGGUGCAAGCGUUAUCCGGAAUUAUUGGGCGUAAAGAGCUCGUAGGCGGUUUGUCGCGUCUGCUGUGAAAACUGGAGGCUCAACCUCCAGCUUGCAGUGGGUACGGGCAGACUAGAGUGCGGUAGGGGAGAUUGGAAUUCCUGGUGUAGCGGUGGAAUGCGCAGAUAUCAGGAGGAACACCAAUGGCGAAGGCAGAUCUCUGGGCCGUAACUGACGCUGAGGAGCGAAAGCAUGGGGAGCGAACAGGAUUAGAUACCCUGGUAGUCCAUGCCGUAAACGUUGGGAACUAGAUGUAGGGACCAUUCCACGGUUUCUGUGUCGCAGCUAACGCAUUAAGUUCCCCGCCUGGGGAGUACGGCCGCAAGGCUAAAACUCAAAGGAAUUGACGGGGGCCCGCACAAGCGGCGGAGCAUGCGGAUUAAUUCGAUGCAACGCGAAGAACCUUACCAAGACUUGACAUAUACGAGAACGGGCUAGAAAUAGUCAACUCUUUGGACACUCGUAAACAGGUGGUGCAUGGUUGUCGUCAGCUCGUGUCGUGAGAUGUUGGGUUAAGUCCCGCACGAGCGCAACCCUCGUCCUUUGUUGCCAGCACGUAAUGGUGGGACUCAAGGGAGACUGCCGGGGUCAACUCGGAGGAAGGUGGGGAUGACGUCAAAUCAUCAUGCCCCUUAUGUUCUGGGUCUCACGC
rnacentral:rRNA from 1 species